GCCUCCCAGUGUUGGGGAGCUGAAUAGAGCCUGUUGUGAUGUUCAGGUCUCUCCAGACUCCAUCAGCUCCCAGUCUGAGGAAUUCUCUCAAUUUAAGGAAGCUGAGGACCAUCUCACUGGAACUCAGGUUGUUGAGCCGUACGAUGAGCUGCUGCCCACCGCAUCUCACAAUGACCUUUCAGCUUUCGUUCUGGUAAACAAACCAUUCAUUUAUUUACUAAAGCCAAUCGCUGCAGUUUACAAGGUUGUGGGUUUUUUUGUUUUGUUUCAUAUUUCUUGGUAAGGAAAGCAACAGAACCUUAGAUGUGUUUGUAUGAAACAAUCUUUAUGAUCUACUUUUUACAGCCUCUCACUGCCAGAAAACUGGACUUGGCCUGGAAGAAUGUUCAGUUCCUCUCUGACUACUUUAGCUCCCAGUCUAGGGUAUUGUACAGAGCUGCAGCUGAGAUACAAACACCAUUAGUUACAAGUUCUAAUGUUUAGUUUUGUUUCUGUAUUUCUACUCAGUGGAAGAUAAAACCUGCUACUUCAGGAUGAUAAGGGGUCCGGAGAGUGUGUUCUGCAGGUUUAAUAACAAGACCUGCUACUUGAACCACAUGGGAUUCCCUUAUGAUACCCGUAUUGAGGACUGUUUCACUGGCAUUAAGAGCGUAUCUGGGAGGGUUACAGAAUAUAUUUGCUGUAACAGCAUGGAAUCAUCUGUCCUUGUGGCAAUGGAGGAUUAUGGGCACAUCUUUAAGAAGGUGACCUGCACAUACCUGCAUGUGCUUGAAGAUGGGCAUUGUGAUUUUCCUGAGUCCCAAGAAAGUCUGUUCCUCUUGUGUAAGUUACAGUGUUUUAAAAAACAUCUCACUGUAUUAC